UACGUAGGGGGCAAGCGUUGUCCGGAAUUAUUGGGCGUAAAGAGCGUGUAGGCGGCCCGGCAAGUCCGCCGUGAAAGUCCAGGGCUCAACCCUGGAAUGCCGGUGGAAACUGUCGGGCUUGAGUUCGGAAGAGGCGAGUGGAAUUCCUGGUGUAGCGGUGAAAUGCGCAGAUAUCAGGAGGAACACCGGUGGCGAAGGCGGGUCUCUGGGCAACAACUGACGCUGAGGAGCGAAAGCGUGGGGAGCGAACAGG
rnacentral:rRNA from 1 species